GAUGAACGCUAGCGGCAGGCCUAAUACAUGCAAGUCGAACGGUGUCUUCGGACAUAGUGGCGCACGGGUGCGUAACACGUAUGCAACCUACCUUACAUUGGGGGAUAGCCUUUCGAAAGGGAGAUUAAUACCGCAUAAGACAGUAGCUGGGCAUCCAGCAGCUGUUAAAGAUUUAUCGAUGUAAGCUGGGCAUGCGUCCAAUUAGCUAGUUGGUGAGGUAACGGCUCACCAAGGCAAUGAUUGGUAGGGGAACCGAGAGGUCAAUCCCCCACACUGCACUGAGAUACGGGCCAGACUCCUACGGGAGGCAGCAGUAGGGAAUAUUGGGCAAUGGACGCAAGUCUGACCCAGCCAUGCCGCGUGCAGGAUGAAGGCGUUAUGCGUUGUGAACUGCUUUUAUACAGGAAGAAACGACUCUUGCGAGAGGCAUUGACGGUACUGUAUGAAUAAGCACCGGCUAACUCCGUGCCAGCCGCCGCCGUAAAAC
rnacentral:rRNA from 1 species